AACGAACGCUGGCGGCAUGCCUAACACAUGCCAGUCGAACGAGAUCCUUCGGGGUCUAGUGGCGCACGGGUGCGUAACGCGUGGGAAUCUGCCCUUAGGUUCGGAAUAACAGUUAGAAAUGACUGCUAAUACCGGAUGAUGACGUUAAGUCCAAAGAUUUAUCGCCUGAGGAUGAGCCCGCGUAGGAUUAGCUAGUUGGUGUGGUAAAGGCGCACCAAGGCGACGAUCCUUAGCUGGUCUGAGAGGAUGAUCAGCCGCACUGGGACUGAGACACGGCCCAGACUCCUACGGGAGGCAGCAGUGGGGAAUAUUGGACAAUGGGCGCAAGCCUGAUUCAGCAAUGCCGCGUGAGUGAUGAAGGCCUUAGGGUUGUAAAGCUCUUUUACCCGGGAUGAUAAUGACAGUACCGGGAGAAUAAGCCCCGGCUAACUCCGUG
rnacentral:rRNA from 1 species